CACCGCCCGUCACACCAUGAAAGUCGGCUGUACCAGAAGUCGCUGCGCUAACCGUAAGGAGGCAGGCGCCCAAGGUAUGGUCGAUGAUUGGGUGAAGUCGUAACAAGGUACCC
rnacentral:rRNA from 1 species